GCUCGCAUGGGCCACUGAGGAAAGAUCUAUCGGUCUGGGAGGGUCUCGCGGCCUAUCAGCUAGUUGGUGAGGUAACGGCUCACCAAGGCUACGACGGGUAGCUGGUUUGAGAGAACGAUCAGCCACACUGGAACUGAGACAUGGUCCAGACUCCUACGGGAGGCAGCAGUGGGGAAUCUUGCGCAAUGGGCGAAAGCCUGACGCAGCAACGCCGCGUGCGGGAUGACGGCCUUCGGGUUGUAAACCGCUUUCAGCAGGGACGAAAAUGACGGUACCUGCAGAAGAAGCUCCGGCUAACUACGUGCCAGCAGCCGCGGUAAUACGUAGGGAGCAAGCGUUGUCCGGAUUUAUUGGGCGUAAAGAGCUCGUAGGCGGUUCCGUAAGUCGAGUGUGAAAAAUCUGGGCUCAACCCAGUGGAGCACUCGAUACUGCGGUGACUAGAGUCCGGUAGGGGAGUGUGGAAUUCCUGGUGUAGCGGUGAAAUGCGCAG
rnacentral:rRNA from 1 species